UGGGCACUCUAAGGAGACUGCCGGUGACAAACCGGAGGAAGGUGGGGAUGACGUCAAGUCAUCAUGGCCCUUACGGCCUGGGCUACACACGUGCUACAAUGGUCGGUACAAAGGGUUGCCAAGCCGCGAGGUGGAGCUAAUCCCAUAAAACCGAUCGUAGUCCGGAUCGCAGUCUGCAACUCGACUGCGUGAAGUCGGAAUCGCUAGUAAUCGUGAAUCAGAAUGUCACGGUGAAUACGUUCCCGGGCCUU
rnacentral:rRNA from 2 species